rnacentral:lncRNA from 1 species
UGCCCGCCCUCUCACCGUCCCGCCCCUUCUGUCCCUCGCCGGCCCUGCCGGGGGGCUGCGCCUGCGCGUUCGCUGGAGGGGCUGCUGCUGCUCCGUGCCCGGCGCUCGGACCCGGCUGGCGGGCGGCGGGUGAGGGGCCGGUGGCGGGGCAGAGCGAUGAGCUCCCGGAAAGGUACCAUCCCGGGCGGCUGCGGGAGCCCGGCAGCGGUACCGGCUCCUCCGAGGGGGGCUGAGGAAAGUACCCGCGCGCGCCCACUAACCUGUGCCCGUCUCUCCCCAGUGCUGGCCCUGCAGGCCCGGAGGCGGCGGCCCAAGCAGCCCGCGGCGGCCGGCAGGAGGGACAAGCACAAAAAAAAUCAAGCAGAAGAUUGAGCUGCUGAUGUCAGUUAACUCUGAGAAGUCGUCCUCUUCAGAAAGACACCAGAAACAAGGAGCAGUUGCCCUGGAUGCAGAUUAUCAACCCUAGCCAAGAUUGCUGUAUUCAUUUCUACCAAGAAUGCUCUUUUCUAGGGCUGUUAAAAGCUCAUCAGUCUUAAUGUUGAACUGUUUACAGUCCUUGACCACGGUAUCCAAAAUGGCCUCAUGUCCAGAAGAUGAAGUUUCAAGGCCAGAGCCUCAACAGAAAGCUCCAUCUGCACCACCACCUCCACCUCCGCCCCCACCUCCGCCCCUGCCAGAGCCAGCACCACCAGAACCAGAGGAGGAGAUUCUGGGAUCUGAUGAUGAGGAGCAAGAAGACCCUGCAGAUUAUUGCAAAGGUUUGUGUAAUUAAGCACUAUAUAAAAAGUUGAAUGUUAAAUAGUAAACAUCUAUAUAGCCCUUGACAACUUUGGUCCUCAAGAGCCACUUGAAUGGUCUUCUUUUAGAGUGAAGCUUAUGCUUUUGUGUGGUAGAGACAGAGUUUUCUUAGUGCUGGUCCUAGAUUAUGGAAUUCACUCCUGCAAGAACCAAGGGUAUGUCUACACUAGAGAGACUAUACAGGCAUUGCUAUGUCACCGUAGCUAUGUUGGCAUAACCCUGUAGUAUAGAUGCUGCCUAUAUGUUGGUGUGGGAGCACCACCUCCCUGAUUGAUGGUAGCUCUAAGUCGAUGGAAACAUUCUUCUGUUGACUUAGCUUCAUCUAUACAGGGGAUUAGUUUGGCAUAACUGUGUCGCUCAGGGAGUGCUUUUUUUCCCCACACACCUGAGCAACGUAAUUAUGUUGAUCUAAUUUUUAAGUGUAGACCAAGCCUAAGAAUGGCCACAAAAGUCACCAUUUUCUGUCUAUGCAAUGCUUAUCACUUUUAUUUAUUUUACUUUCCCCUAGGCAAAGGAAUGGAGAGAACAUUUUUGGACCAACAUUAGACACAUUAUUUUUUAACUCUGCGAGGUUUUUAAAUAGUUUGGUAACUGGGAUGAUAUAAUGAUAUAAUAACCUAUACUUAGAAUAGAAUUUAUUUCUCUGAUUCUUCCCUCUAACUUCUCUGCACCAUUGAGACUCACAUUCACUCACUGGAAAUCUUCUGAUCCUGUCCUUGUACAUUAUAUGGAAACUUUAUUCAUACCUUUCUUAUUCUGCUAUUCUGCCUGAUUUACGAUGUGCAUGGGCUAAUUAGAUCAUCAGCUAGUCCAAUUGCCCCAACUUCUGCAGGGAGUCUUGGAACCAUAUCUUGGGGCAUCACUGGGAAUCUGGUAAAGUACGAAACAUUAUUUUAGUGGAGAAUGCAGAUAAACUCAAGACAAGUGAAAGACAAGUAAAUGUUGAGCAAAAAACGUUAAUGUGAACCAGGAGC